CAGUAGCCGCGGGAAUACGAAGGGGGCUAGCGUUGCUCGGAAUGACUGGGCGUAAAGGGCGCGUAGGCGGUUCAUACAGUUGGAUGUGAAAUUCCUGGGCUUAACCUGGGGGCUGCAUUCAAUACGUGCGGGCUUGAGUGUGGAAGAGGGUUGUGGAAUUCCCAGUGUAGAGGUGAAAUUCGUAGAUAUUGGGAAGAACACCGGUGGCGAAGGCGGCAACCUGGUCCAUAACUGACGCUGAGGCGCGAAAGCGUGGGGAGCAAACAAGAUUAGAUACCCCUGUAGUCCCUGUCUCUUAUAC
rnacentral:rRNA from 1 species